UACCUGCGGAGGGAUCWUUACUGAGUUACACGGCAWCUAUAACCCUUUGUGAACGUACCUAACCGUUGCUUCGGCGGGCAGGGGAAGCCUCUCGCGGGCCUCCCCUCCCGGCGCCGGCCCCCACCACGGGGACGGGGCGCCCGCCGGAGGAAACCAAACUCUAUUUACACGACGUCUCUUCUGAGUGGCACAAGCAAAUAAUUAAAACUUUUAACAACGGAUCUCUUGGUUCUGGCAUCGAUGAAGAACGCAGCGAAAUGCGAUAAGUAAUGUGAAUUGCAGAAUUCAGUGAAUCAUCGAAUCUUUGAACGCACAUUGCGCUCGCCAGCAUUCUGGCGAGCAUGCCUGUUCGAGCGUCAUUUCAACCCUCAAGCACCGCUUGGUUUUGGGGCCCCACGGCCGACGUGGGCCCUUAAAGGUAGUGGCGGACCCUCCCGGAGCCUCCUUUGCGUAGUAACUAACGUCUCGCACUGGGAUCCGGAGGGACUCUUGCCGUUAAACCCCCAAAUUCUUUACAGGUUGACCUCGGAUCAGGUAGGAAUACCCGCUGAACUUAAGCAUAUC
rnacentral:rRNA from 1 species